rnacentral:misc_RNA from 1 species
GUGAAUCAUCGAAUCUUUGAACGCAUAUUGCACUCUCUGGUAUUCCGGAGAGUAUGCCUGUUUGAGGGUAAUUAAAAAGAAUCUUUAACCAAUUUUUUUUGGUAAAAGGGAAUGAGCUCUCCGCGUUUAUAGCGGUAGUUUGAAUUAAAUGGUCAAGUCUCAUUUUAGUUGAGCUGCGUAAUAAUAUAAUUUCGCGAAAUCUUCAUUUAGUGACUUCCAAGUUUUGGUGCAUACAAAUUUGCUUUUUAUGCGAUAAAUAGAAAUUUUUUGAAUAUCAC